rnacentral:rRNA from 1 species
CUAGAGACCGGCGCACGGGUGCGUAACGCGUAUGCAAUCUACCUUUCACAAAGGGAUAGCCCAGAGAAAUUUGGAUUAAUACCUUAUAGUAUAACGACUUCGCAUGGAGCUGUUAUUAAAGAUUUAUCGGUGAAAGAUGAGCAUGCGUCCCAUUAGCUAGUUGGUAAGGUAACGGCUUACCAAGGCUACGAUGGGUAGGGGUCCUGAGAGGGAGAUCACCCACACUGGUACUGAGACACGGACCAGACUCCUACGGGAGGCAGCAGUGAGGAAUAUUGGUCAAUGGGCGCAAGCCUGAACCAGCCAUGCCGCGUGCAGGAUGACGGUCCUAUGGAUUGUAAACUGCUUUUGUACAGGAAGAAACACUCCCUCGUGAGGGAGCUUGACGGUACUGUAAGAAUAAGGAUCGGCUAACUCCGUGCCAGCAGCCGCGGUAAUACGGAGGAUCCAAGCGUUAUCCGGAAUCAUUGGGUUUAAAGGGUCCGUAGGCGGCUUAAUAAGUCAGUGGUG